rnacentral:lncRNA from 1 species
AGUGCAAUCUUACUGGUCUUAUUUCUGCUGCUGCUUGGUUUUAGGUUACUUAGAAGCUCGUGAUUUACCAAGUCGGGGCCUUUAUCCUUUCAUGCGGACCCUUUUCUGUAACGUUGGUUCAAGAUGCAGGAAUGCCAGUUCCACAGCACAGAGACACAGCCGCUUUAGUGAAAGGCCCCAAAGUGGUCCAGAGAGAGCCACUGGACCUGAUUUAGACUUCAUGGAAGAGAUAAAAGAACUUGCAAAGGAAUUUAUUGAUACUACAGAGAAAGCCAUGGCCUUAGAAAAGCUAUGGGAAGAAAACUCAAGGCUCUCAGGGCUCCAUAACAUCACCACUUUUCUUACUAUGGAUUUGAAUGAAGCAGAGAAAAUUAUUUCUAGAGCAGAAAA